ACUGCUAGCAUUAGCUGUUUGCUCACUGUAGCCUUUUAUCUUACACACGUGAUUGAGAUGGAGCUCAGAGAACAUAGGACUUCAGUCUGUUUGCUGCUAAAACUUUUGUGAUGUGUUUAUUAUUUGGAGAACUGAUAUUGUGGUUGUAUUCUGAAAUGUCUCACAUUUCCCUAAUGGGUUCACAGCACGUUUAGCUUGAAUUAGCAAUGAUGCUAGCAGGUAGGCUAUAGGCUAAGUCAGUCUACUCCCAUUUGUUGGCUGGACCGCAACAGCAGAGCCAGCCCUAAAAACGUGAAUGUCUGUGACUGACUGAGUGAGUGAUGAAGUUACACCAUUGGUCAGCCGGAUCAUGUGUGUUAGGUCCAGCCAUAAACUAGGUUUUAUCCUGGUCUUGUUUCUAUAGUGGUUUCCUGGCAGCAGCAGAAGGAAUUAUUUCUCCCGCAGGCCUGGCAACUUGGGCGGAUCCGGGUUUUUUUUGCAUAUCUAUUUUUGUGUGGAAACAGGAAAAUAACAUGACGGAUUAAUUAGUCGGUAAUGACAGCGGUAAAACAAUGACAAACCUGGCUUUGUUAGAUGCGUCCGACCUAGCCCAUAACCUAUUGAUUUUUGGCUAAAUUCAAAUCGACUGCGGAGUAAAUCAGUCGCUGGCAUUGAGCUGAUCGCACUCGGGAAUUGAGUCUGAAUGAGUUGAUCGAAUCCGCAAGGAGAUAGAGUUCACUUUGGUGUGGUCACCAACUAAACCAAGAUAGUCCCUGUGCCAAGCAAGAGAAGACGCAGUCAACAGUAACGUGGUGAAAGAAACUGUUUGAAGUGAAGAAGACAGAGUUCCAGAGGUUGUCAGAUGUUCUACAAUCAGUACAAGUGGAAAUAAUUGUAGAAUUGUAUAAUCCUGCGGUUUAUCGGUUUUUCGCCGAAAACUGAGAAUGAAAUCUCCCAAGACGACGGGAAACAGAUAAAAAGACUGGUCAUCACUAUCCACAGUUCUCAGGAGGUUUCAACCGCCAUCUACGAAAUUCCAUGUUUCCACCCUGUAGAGCGUUUUCAUUGGGCCAGCAGGUGCAGACGGAAACUCAGCGUAUCCAGUUGCAUACACGCGAGGCUUACCUGAGACAGCACGGUUCACUUUGCACAGCAGUGUAAAGGCUGAAAUUCAAAGAUGAGUGGGAUGAUGAGGUGAGAAGAUUCCUUCCACAAAAGUGCGCCUUCCCUCGGUCAGGGCCCGGAAACUUGGGCGGAUCUUCAGCCAACUGCGACAUCUGGGCUCCACUGCCGUUGUACCCUUGAGCACGGACUUACGGUUCUUGAGAAGAUAUCAUUUGGACUUACAGUUGAUGAGAAGUUCCAUCAUUUGGACUUAAGGUUCACGAGAAGUUGUCUUUUGAAUAUAUUUUUUAAAAUGGCAGCAGAGGAGAGGGGAUAUGAUGAUGGACCAGGUUUGUACCAAUAUACCCGGGAUGGCUGGGCUAAAGAUUUGACUUUGGGGCCUCAUUAUUGUGCCCACAAACGAACAACUCAUGUCAUUUCUUUUGCCCAGGUUAUGUAUAGCCUGUACUAUCUGUGGGCCAAAACGGACAAGAGGUUACCAUUUGGCCAAGUUAUUUUUAACAAAAUAGUGAAGUAUAUAGGAAAUAGGAAUUUCAGCAAUUACAA